UGAGGAAUAUUGGGCAAUGGAGGCAUCUCUGACCCAGCCAUGCCGCGUGCAGGAAGACGGCCCUAUGGGUUGUAAACUGCUUUUAUACAGGAAGAAACACUCGUACGUGUACGAGCUUGACGGUACUGUAAGAAUAAGGACCGGCUAACUCCGUGCCAGCAGCCGCGGUAAUACGGAGGGUCCGAGCGUUAUCCGGAAUCAUUGGGUUUAAAGGGUCCGCAGGCGGUCAAUUAAGUCAGAGGUGAAAUCCCAUAGCUUAACUAUGGAACUGCCUUUGAUACUGGUUGACUUGAGUCAUAUGGAAGUAGAUAGAAUGUGUAGUGUAGCGGUGAAAUGCAUAGAUAUUACACAGAAUACCGAUUGCGAAGGCAGUCUACUACGUAUGUACUGACGCUGAGGGACGAAAGCGUGGGGAGCGAACAGGAUUAGAUACCCUGGUAGUCCACGCCGUAAACGAUGGAUACUAGUUGUUGGGAUUUAUCUCAGUGACUAAGCGAAAGUGAUAAGUAUCCCACCUGGGGAGUACGCUCGCAAGACUG
rnacentral:rRNA from 1 species